UACGUAGGGUGCAAGCGUUGUCCGGAAUUAUUGGGCGUAAAGCGCGCGCAGGCGGUCAUUUAAGUCUGGUGUUUAAGCCCGGGGCUCAACCCCGGUUCGCAUCGGAAACUGGAUGACUUGAGUGUAGGAGAGGAAAGUGGAAUUCCACGUGUAGCGGUGAAAUGCGUAGAGAUGUGGAGGAACACCGAUGGCGAAGGCAGCCUCCUGGGCCAACACUGACGCUCAUGCACGAAAGCGUGGGGAGCAAACAGG
rnacentral:rRNA from 1 species